AGUGAACGCUGGCGGUAGGCCUAACACAUGCAAGUCGAACGGCAGCACAGUAAGAGCUUGCUCUUACGGGUGGCGAGUGGCGGACGGGUGAGGAAUACAUCGGAAUCUACUUUUUCGUGGGGGAUAACGUAGGGAAACUUACGCUAAUACCGCAUACGACCUACGGGUGAAAUCAUGGGAUCUUCGGACCUUGCGUGAUUGAAUGAGCCGAUGUCGGAUUAGCUAGUUGGCGGGGUAAAGGCCCACCAAGGCGACGAUCCGUAGCUGGUCUGAGAGGAUGAUCAGCCACACUGGAACUGAGACACGGUCCAGACUCCUACGGGAGGCAGCAGUGGGGAAUAUUGGACAAUGGGCGCAAGCCUGAUCCAGCCAUACCGCGUGGGUGAAGAAGGCCUUCGGGUUGUAAAGCCCUUUUGUUGGGAAAGAAAAGCAGCAGGUUAAUACCCCGCUGUUCUGACGGUACCCAAAGAAUAAGCACCGGCUAACUUCGUG
rnacentral:rRNA from 1 species